CGAACGCUGGCGGCGUGCCUAAUACAUGCAAGUCGAACGAGGCCGACCUUCGGGUCACAUGGUCGAGUGGCGAACGGGUGAGUAACACGUGAGAAACCUGCCCCAAAGAUCGGGAUAACCCAGGGAAACCCGGGCUAAUACCGGAUACCCCCAUCGGAUCGCAUGGUCUGAUGAGGAAAUGCUUUUGUGCUUUGGGAGGGUCUCGCGGCCUAUCAGCUAGUUGGUGAGGUAAUGGCUCACCAAGGCAUCGACGGGUAGCUGGUCUGAGAGGACGAUCAGCCACACUGGGACUGAGACACGGCCCAGACUCCUACGGGAGGCAGCAGUAGGGAAUCUUGCGCAAUGGGCGAAAGCCUGACGCAGCAACGCCGCGUGGGGGAUGAAGGCUCUCGGGUUGUAAACCCCUUUCAGCAGGGAAGAAAAUGACGGUACCUGCAGAAGAAGCCCCGGCCAACUAC
rnacentral:rRNA from 1 species